rnacentral:hammerhead_ribozyme from 11 species
AACUGAUCGGGAGCUAGAGUUGUUCUCAUGAUGAGUCCAUGGUAGGACGAAAUCAAUC